rnacentral:rRNA from 1 species
GACGAACGCUGGCGGCGUGCUUAACACAUGCAAGUCGAGCGAUGAACCUUUCAUGAAUUUUUCGGAAUGAUUGGAAGAGGAUUAGCGGCGGACGGGUGAGUAACGCGUGAGCAACCUGCCUUAAACAACGGGAUAGCCUCGGGAAACCGGGAUUAAUACCGUAUGAGACCCCGCCUUCACAUGAAGAAGAGGUUAAAGAUUUAUCGGUUUAAGAUGGGCUCGCGUCUGAUUAGCUAGUUGGUGAGGUAAAAGCCCACCAAGGCAACGAUCAGUAACCGGCUUGAGAGAGUGAACGGUCACAUUGGAACUGAAACACGGUCCAAACUCCUACGGGAGGCAGCAGUGGGGAAUAUUGCACAAUGGGGGAAACCCUGAUGCAGCGACGCCGCGUGAGCGAUGAAGGAAUUCGUUUCGUAAAGCUCUGUCCAAGGGGAAGAUAAUGACAGUACCCUUGGAGGAAGCCCCGGCUAAAUACGUGCCAGCCGCCGCCGUAA